CAGGAUGUGGAAAGUAGGUGAGAGGAAGCUGCCAAAGAUGACUCAAUUUUCUUGCUUGAGCACCUAGAGGAAUAAUACGGCUGAUAAUAAGUUGGAGAAUGCAGCCUAAGCAGAUUUUCACAACGACCAGGAAGAUUGAGAAUCCAAUUUAUGAAAUUGGGGAAUAUUCUACUUGACAGAGAAAGGUUCCAUCUUGCAUGUGAAGAAGAGGAUCCAGGGACUUAAGAGAAGUCAUGAGGGGUUGUGACUUCCCCGUCAAAGAAAGGGGAAGCCUAAAGAAACACUCAAGAAAGGGGAAGUCUAAAGAAACAGUCAAGGCCACCAGCUCUGGAGCCUGCUAUGAGCCACGCGUGAACUUCAGUAAAGAGGUCAUUCAUCAAAAACUGAAAAGGUCAGGGACAUGGACAAAGACCUUCAGCAAACCGUAUAAAGAAUAUCAGAUAUAAAGGCCACUCCAUCCAGACACAUUGGAAAGCUGAAGGGGACAGAGGGAGGAAAUGAGGUACCAACCUGGAUGAGCAUCCAGCUAAACUGGCAAAGAUACAGGUAAUGUAUGACAGCAGCCACGGCUGAACAGCUCUCCUCCGUGAG